GUUUUUAUGGUGUAACUAACACUUUACAUUUUCAUUGUAAAACUAAAGAUUUUUAAUUCUUUUUAAAACAU
rnacentral:tRNA from 1 species